rnacentral:lncRNA from 1 species
UUCUGUUCCUUUGAUUUAAUCUGGUAAUCACAGGAGUGUAUGUAUUUAAUUUUUUUUUUUUAAAUGAGCAGCUGCUGACCUGUAAGAACAGCAGCAACUCAAGAGGAAGAUAGAAUUUUUAACAUAAUUAUGUAAGUAGAAAUCCCAAUAAAAUCACUUAAAUCAAGUGGUAAUAAUAGUAAUAACAAAAAAGACUUGCUCUCUCUUCUUCAACACACCAGGUAAUGAAAUGUGGGCUCCUUGAUUUAGAGAGGCAUAUUUGUGUGAUAAAAAUCUUGUGGAAACAAGAACUGACGUGAGUGGCAAAUCCUGAUAAUAGUCUGAAACCUGUAUAAAGCUCUAUCAUAAAAGAGUUCAACACUUUUCAAGCAUUAAAUAUAUUUUCAGGAUUUCCUGUUAUGGCUCAGCAGAAAUGAAUCUGGCUAGUAUCCAUGAGGAUGCAGGUUCAAUCCCUGGCCUUGCUCAUUGGGUAAAGGAUCUGGCAUUGCAGUGAGCUGUGGUGUAGGUCACAGAUAUGGUUCAGAUCUGGCGUCACUGUGACUGUGGCGCAGGCCUUUGGCUACAGCUCCAAUUUCACCCCUGGCCUGGGAACCUCCAUAUGCCUUGGGUGUGUCCCUAAAAAGAAAAAAGAAAAAAAAUUUCAGUAAAAUCAGCUUUAUUUUUCCUCCCCCUUUAUUAAAUUUUAAAAUUUCGUUUGAAAGGAGCAUCUCUUAUUUACCUCAACUUACCUGAAACAUUUCUUAGGAGGGAUGUUUAUUUGACAUCCCUCUUAUUUGAACUGUCCUCUUCAUUUAAGCUUGCUUGUGUCAGAUACAAUGAAACAUUACCAGAAGAGUCAUCUGUAUUCUGUGAAGCUGGCUUGAUUAACCAUUGAGUCAUUUAUUUCAGGCUCCUGUGUCUGAGGGCAGCGGUGUCUCUUCUGGCUCUGUGUGCCUUAGCAGUUACUGUAUGAGGAAGAGCACCACUCUGGGAUUCAGAACUGUUUCCUGGGAGCAAACCAAGUGGAGUAGAAUGACAUAUAUUUAUGUUUCCUAAUUGGUUACACUUUUUUUUAGUAGGACUUAAGAUUUUCCCAGGAAGGUGUUGGUAUUGGCCAUAUCCAAACCAUAUCCACAGUCAGGUCAAAGUUCAUGUCAUGAGAAGAUAACCUAGGGGAAAUUAUUAAGGGAAAAAUUUGGACAUGCCGCAUCUUGGAGAGCAUGUUCAGCUUGUCAUUUGUGACUUUGGACUUUCUGAGAGCCAAAAUCUAAAUCAGUUUUAAAUAGUUGGUCUCUCUUAAAAUGGGGUUUGAAGAAGAUGUUUUACUGUGUUUCUGGCCGGGGACUAGCUUGAAAAGAAUUUCAUUUGCUAACCCUGCAAGACUAGUUAUUGGCAUGAAUGGCCUCUGGAUAGACGGAGCCAACAUCCUGAUCAGAUGUCAGAGCUUCAGUUUCUGAAAUGCUGAACCUUUCUUUGUUCCUAGAAGAUGAGAAUGUUAAUUUUUCAGAAGUUAUUCAAUAUUAGGUCUCCAACCAUGAAAUGAACAACGAAUGAGUGAUCAUACUUAAAAUAGCCAGAUCCCACAUCAUUAUUUACAUUUUUAUGUCUAUUAAUUUUUUAUGCCUUCAGAUAAUUGGAAAUAGAUAAAAAUGGUGGGAUUUUUAAAGUUAAAAGGGCUUAAAAUCCUAAAAUUAGAUUUGUUUAUUUCUAUACCAGUACUACACAUUCAUUGGACAGAUGCUAAAAAUUUCUAUCACUAUGUCAGAUGAUCAUAUUAGAAUCAUAGCCCUGUAGAAUUAAUGCUAAUGAAACCUAAAACUCAUGGGAGAAUACAAGGAGGGAGAGUCAUCAGUAAGUUAAUUGUUUUUUUGUAAACUUCUAAAAAUGUCUUUAAAAUGCAAGACCUCACUGUGGCUCAUCAGUUCAAAGAUAAUCUUUGUUUUAAGUAAUAGCAUAUAAUUCUACUUGUUUUGUACUCUUUAGUGGAGCAUUUGUUAGUUUAUCAUGCAACCCAAGAGAAUAUUUGUGUCUGGGGGACUGAUAGAGAUGCUAGUGCCAAUAUGCUUAUACUUUAUUCAGAACCACAUCAGUGCAGCAAACUCAGAGUAAUCAGAAAGUUUGAUCAUGCAUAGUAAGAAUUCAUAGCAUUUUAGUCACCACACCAAAAACAGAUAUGUGAUGCAUACUGAUGAAGUGAUUUGUGAUAGAUCUUUUUUCAACAUUUGUAUACCAGAGCAAGGGAACCUGAAAGCCAGAUCACUAAAUGACACUGGGUUUUGUUUUCUCUGUUCGGUGUACAUGUUCAUUUGGAGGAGAAAGAGUUUUGCCACUGACUAGCUGCUUAAUAGCUUUGUGAACUUGGAUGACUUGCAGAAUCAUGGAAUCUUCUGGAUAAAUAAAGGGAUUAUAAUAUUUAUCUUGCUAGUCUACUAAUAAAAUCCUUGAAUCUCCUCUUCAGCAUGGAGACAAAGUAGCUGUUGAGCUUCUGUUUGACUCCUUCCAGUCAUGGGAGGUCAGUACCACCCAGGGAAACUUGGCCAUUUUCAGGCAACUCUUAAGUAAUAGUAAAUUCUCCAAACACUGUGUUCUUUUGUGUUCAGUUACACAAAUGUAAAUGGAUAUAAUGACUACUGCCUUUCUUACCCCACAUACUUGUAAGGAUAAAAUGAGAUGAUACUUCUAGAAAAUGUAGUGGAGUGAGCUCUAUCUGAAGGUAUCAUUCUUAUUACUCUAAGUGUGCUACACUGAGCAAUUAUGCAUACCUACUUGUUCUCCCUCCUGGGGAAAGAUUAUACUUCCUUGUCCUGAUGACAUUAGGCUUGUCCAUGUGACUUCUCUGACUAAAGAAAUAUGAUUAGACAUCUAUGCAAAAAGUUUAAGAGCCAGCCCAUGGCCUUAAGACCUUUUCCCUCUGCUGUACCCGUUAAUAUUCACAAAGAAGGCUGCUCUAAAGCCUGGAUCCUAGAGUGAAAAUGCCAUAGGGCAGGGUCACAGCCUAUAUGCUGCUCUAUGAGUUAGAAAUAAAUCUUGGUUAUUGUGAGCCACGGAGAUAUUGGAGUCAUUUGUCAUUUCAGUCUGUGCUAGGUGUUAUGAUUGGUGUAUUCUUUUUACCCCUUCUGAAUUACAAGUUAUAUUGUAAUUGUGAACUUGCCACACUUGUGGAGCUCUACUGACAUCACAGAGCUUUCUUGUAGUAGCCACUUUUAGAAAACAGGGAUGUGCUCUAAAACUGACCAGGUAAGAAUUUGAAUGCAUUAUGGAGUAAAGUAGGCUGUUAUUGGGUACUGAAAGACUUGUGACUUGAUACUUUUUCCAUGAAGAUUCUAAGUUAUGCAUUUAUGUCUUUGUAAAUCGGGAACUAGGAGUAUUUUUAUCUUAACUCAGGAUUUCUCAAAGAUUUUAUUUCAUUAUUUCCACUCUAGCCUUUUUAGAAAUUUUUUCCUAGUUACCCCCAUGAUAUUUUAGUGCCACAGAUACAUUGUAUGUUUAUGUUCUCUAGUGAAACAUUGUUUUCAUUUAUCAUACAUGCAAAUUGUAUGUAUAUUUGUGCUUUAUAAUGAAAAAGAUUUUUUUUUUUUCUUUGUUUGCCAUCACUGAGACUGGAAGCUCUACCUAAAUAAUGGUAGAGCCAUAUUGGGAAAGGCCAGUUUCUGAGGGACAUCUCACAAGGUCAAAUCCCAAGUAGAGCAGAGUGAGCAGAGGUUUUUUUUUUUAUGCUUUAUUAUAAAGCAUUUUUGAGAGGUAAUAUGCAACAUAUUUUGUAAAAAAGGGAAAAAAGUUGUAAAUUAUCAGUUUUGCAGUGUCAAAGUUGAGUGGGUGGGAGCAGCAUUGACUGUGGUACAAUAGAGGAGAAUACAGAAUGACAAAAUCUAUUUAUACAGCAAAUCUUUACUGUAUUACCUUACCUUUGCAUUAUUUCAUUUACUUCUCUGGAAAAUUGCUUUAACACUAUUAUAAAAUUAAUUUUAUAGAGGAAGAAACUUUGACUUAAAGUUAUGAAUGUGCCAAGGCUAUGAAGUGGGGAGGGGCUGAGUCAGGAUAUGCAGACAUGUCUAACACUUUAACUCCUUCCCCUUUGCUAGAAGGUGACGCUACUCCCUAGAGUCAAAAAGAGGUUUAUCUGGGAAUGAGCUCACUGCUGAUAAGGCAAGGAAGUCAUAGAAGGACUAGUGUUGUUAUUUUAAGUUUCAUCUUCUUAGAGGAUUCUACUUCACUGUCUUCUGAGUAAUUCAAUAAUAACUGUAUAUCUGGUAUAUUGUCAAAGAUAAAUGUACCUUGUUUGAAGACUGAGUCCUAUUAGAAAUCAUAUGAGAUAUAUAUCCAUUAUGUACUUUAUAUUUGUUUUGUAGUGUGCAUGAUUUCUAUGGUUAAAAUCAAUCCCAUAAAUUCUCCCCAUCCUACUUUAUCAGGGACAAAGAAAUAUUGGGUCCAGUCCUUCUCUGUGUCACCACACUUGUUUUAGCUGCAUUAUGUGAUUUUCCCCAUUCCAGGCUGGCCCUCAUACUUAGGUUAUCCCCGUGUCCUCAGUAUGACAGUCUUAGGGCCCAUUAUAAUUGUGGACUACUCUGUUAAUUUUUAUAUUUCUAAUCAAUUCUUGCCAUAUAGAAGGGAUUCAAUGAAUAUUUGUUAAAUGAACAGAUGAAUGAUUAACCUGUAGACAACCACUGAAAUUCCAGGGCUAUUGCUAAAAUGGAAGUUACUGCCUUCUUAUAAAUACAAGCAGUAAUGUCAGCAGCAUUGGUGAGUAGCCAAUUUAUCUUCUUUGAUCAGUUCAAUGGGUCAUAAACUUUAGAUGUUAAUAUAUUUUUAGGUUUCUGCUGUAAGUUGGUAGACCGAACACAUGCAUUUGAAACCCCAGUGGAAUGAUAGUAAGGAAUUACAAAACAUGGUAAAACCUUUACCAGUAAAAGGAUCAAUAGUGGAAUGAGAUGUCAACAGAACUUACGAAAGAGAAAAGGCUUAUGAAGGCACAUUAGUGGCUAAAACAGAGCCGAAAAUAGGCACAGCGAUGUUACAUGAGAACUGAUUUUUCCAGAGAGCCAGUGGUGUGGUGGAGCCAGGUCUCACUGACCUGGAUUGUGAUCAUCUCCUCCCAACGGUGACUUCAGAGAUAGCAUGUUGUUAGCUUGAAAUUGGCUAUACUGGGAGUACAGAUUGGGACUUUCCCCCUGCCUCCUCAUUAGCUGACUGAUAAAUAUCUGUCAACACAGCAUUUUAAGGAACCCCAUAGAAAAUCCAAGCUUUGGAUAAUCUGGUCCAAAUGGUAGGAAUGAGGGUGGG